rnacentral:lncRNA from 1 species
AAAUAAUCUUUUUUUUUUUUUCCCCAGUGUUAGAUAUUCUAAUUUUCUCUUUCCUUUUAUUAGUUACAGUUUGUUUUACCAAUCUGGAUUAAUUUAUCUGCAUUAUACCCUGUCAAAGGAGAUGACAUGAAAUUUCAAAAUGAGGAACUGUGCACUAAUUUCAGUACACUACAAGAAACAGCAGGCUGGGUUCUGCCUCAGGAUCACACUUGCUGCAGGCUAAGACAUUUCCUGCUCAGAUAUGCCAGCUCGGAGUUACACCAUGCUGAUUCCGGUCUGCUCAGGCUGCGUAUCGCACAGUCCCACUGACAAAACAGAAGCAGUUGAUCCAAUAUUUCCUCUUGGAUCAAGGGUUUGUGAAGGUGCCAAGGGUAUGUGGUGUUUCAUAAUCUUCUAGGGACUCACAGUUGGAGAAGUGUUAUGGAAAGUUAACACAUUCCCUUCCCCGUGUUAAUGGGAAGAUCAAGGGGAAAUUCUCUCUUCGUCCUGGUUCAUCUUCUUUCCCCAUCCAGCUUGGGCUUGCACCAGAGCCAUGCUGCACAGCACUCACUGGGAAAGUGCAAAGCUAUGACUUCUGUCCCACUUGGUUCAAUUUAGAAUUAAGAUAUCAUUUGGUUUUACUUACAAAACAUUUCAGCUUGAUUCUGAUACCUGUCUUCACACUGAAUAAGCUACUUUUCGUAUUGAAUUCAAUGGAAUUUAUGGUGUAAGAUAUUAACCAACAUAUCAAAACAUCACAAAAUCAGAUUUAACAACAACAACAACAAAGUCUUUUUGUCCUGUAUUUAAGGAGCUUUUAAGCAUGUCACAGGACAAGAAAAUACCUACAAUACAACAUCAACAGUAUGCUGGUAUAACAUCAGCAGGACACUAUGGUGGCAUUACAGGAGUUUAGUUUUCCCCAAAAUGCAGGUACUUUGGCAGCAAACGUACCUCUCUGAGUGGUGACAUGAAAAUCUCAUUCAGUUGUCUAAAGAAAGCAGAGCUGCCCUUCUUCUGAGAAUCUAUAGGUACUGGAAAGAGGUUGAUUACCUCAGGGGUAUCAUCAUCACAGCUGCAGCAAGGCCCUUCUGGCACCUCAUCUCCCUUUUAACAAAGCAAGUCUCCUCCCCUACAAAUUACUUAAAAUAAGAAACUAGCAUUUGGUAAAUCAGAACUGGAACAACCUGAACUGCGGUUUCUCAGGUCCAAAGAACAGCUUCAGCUAGAUGGACUAAGCAAACACCAGCCAGAACAUCACACUGUGUGGUUACUUCAGCCUUCCCUCAGAAAGUGUUAUUUCACUUCCUUCCAGUAGCAAAAGAACUUG